rnacentral:rRNA from 1 species
UACGGAAGGCAGCAGUGGGGAAUAUUGCACAAUGGGCGCAAGCCUGAUGCAGCCAUGCCGCGUGUAUGAAGAAGGCCUUCGGGUUGUAAAGUACUUUCAGCGGGGAGGAAGGCGAUGUGGUUAAUAACCGCGUCGAUUGACGUUACCCGCAGAAGAAGCACCGGCUAACUCCGUGCCAGCAGCCGCGGUAAUACGGAGGGUGCAAGCGUUAAUCGGAAUUACUGGGCGUAAAGCGCACGCAGGCGGUCUGUUAAGUCAGAUGUGAAAUCCCCGGGCUUAACCUGGGAACUGCAUUUUGAAACUGGCAGGCUUGAGUCUCGUAGAGGGGGUAGAAUUCCAGGUGUAGCGGUGAAAUGCGUAGAGAUCUGGAGGAAUACCGGUGGCGAAGGCGGCCCCUGGGACGAAGACUGACGCUCAGGGUGCGAAAGCGUGGGGAGCAAACAGGGAUUAGAUACC